ACAGGUGGGGGUUGGGGAGGCUGCCACACUCACCCUGGCGCUCACACUCACGCACACGCGCACGCACUCGCGCCGGCCCUAAGCCUCCUAACCGCCCUCGGCCAGUGGCUGGCCAGGCUGUCGGUCACCCAGCCCGGCUGGUUCGCCGCCCCCCUUGCCGCAGGUCCCACUGAAACCCCCGAGACCCGCCCCGGGGCGCUCGCCGCCUCCCUGCCUGCCCUGCGCUUGCGGGUUCGGGUCCUGGCGCGGGGUCUGCCAGGGUCUCUGCGACCCGGGGGAGGGGGACGGUGGGAUCCUCCGGUUCCCCAACUGGGAUCCCUGUGCGGGUCACACGCGCUCUUACACACACCCGCAUCCUUAAACUUUGGGACCAACUUUUUAGGACACGGGAAACUACAGGCAAGAGAGAGAAGCCAUGGUGCUAGUGUGGGUUCAGGAGAGAUUCCAAGAAAUGAGGGGGGUACGUUGAAACGAUGAAGAAAGGAUGGACACAGCAGUCGAGGUUGAGAGGAUUCCAGGUGUCACCACAGCAGCUGAGAAAGGAAAGAACUUGGAAUUUAGCAUACGUCAGGUUUUAGAUGUGGAAAAGCCCCAAAAGAAGGAGUAGUACCUGUGGGCACAGAGGGCAAUAUGGAGAGAAUAGACAUUAUUCUAAUUCAGGAAAAGGAAAAAUAAUUUGAACCUUCAAAGUAGCCAAGGCUGCCAGUUUCCAGGAUGCUCCCUCUGCAUCUUCCCGGCUGGUGUUUCACCUGGUCUAGUUCCUGUGUCCCAGACUGGAGAAGUUCAAGGCAGAGAUCAUCUCUCUCCUAUCCAACCUUUGAAACCUCAAUACCAAAAACCAUGAACCAUGCCUUGUGUGGAGUGUGCACCAUACACAGUUGUUGAGUGAAUUGAUGAAGUGUGACAUGAAAUUGUUGAAUAAAUGGAUGAAG
rnacentral:lncRNA from 10 species